GAUGAACGCUGGCGGCGUGCUUAACACAUGCAAGUCGAACGAUGAAGCUCAGCUUGCUGGGUGGAUUAGUGGCGAACGGGUGAGUAACACGUGAGUAACCUGCCCUUAACUCUGGGAUAAGCCUGGGAAACUAGGUCUAAUACCGGAUAGGAGCGCCUACCGCAUGGUGGGUGUUGGAAAGAUUUAUCGGUUUUGGAUGGACUCGCGGCCUAUCAGCUUGUUGGUGAGGUAAUGGCUCACCAAGGCGACGACGGGUAGCCGGCCUGAGAGGGUGACCGGCCACACUGGGACUGAGACACGGCCCAGACUCCUACGGGAGGCAGCAGUGGGGAAUAUUGCACAAUGGGCGAAAGCCUGAUGCAGCGACGCCGCGUGAGGGAUGACGGCCUUCGGGUUGUAAACCUCUUUCAGUAGGGAAGAAGCGAAAGUGACGGUACCUGCAGAAGAAGCACCGGCUAACUACGG
rnacentral:rRNA from 1 species